UCCAGGAAACCCAUUACCAUAUUAAAGGCUUUGAGAAAUUCCAGUUAACUUUGUUUUGCUCAGUUCAAACUAGAAUGUAUUUUGGCGAAUGCCAAUGUAAACAACAAUACACUAGGUACUAGAAUCAAUACAUCUAGAGAGAACCACAUAACUUCAGAGACAAAUCAUCUCAAAAUGUUGACUGGCAAAUUGCUUUCAGCUCAGAUUUUCUAAAAUUUGUUUUUCUUUUUUUCCACAGCUCAGUCUUCAAAGGUCUACAGAAAUCGGAUGUCUGUUUGUACGAUAUUAAGCACACAUAGUAAUAUCUGUAUUCAAUUUAACUCUCAUCUUAAAAAGAGGAAUUGUAUUUUUAGUUUGAAUAUGCACAAUGCCUAGUGCAUUGUCUUACAUGUCAUAAACACUCACCAAAUGUUUAAUAUUUGACUGAUGAUGCAAUUUAUCCAAGCCCUAAUUGUAAUUCACAGGCAUGAUUUUUGUUCAUAAUAACCACGUCCUUGGAGACUGAAGCAAAUGGACACAAAUGAUAAAGCCAGAGUACUGUUGGGAACCUCUAGCCUUGUUGUUGUUGAAUAAAUAUUCAUGGUAUAUGCAUGAAUAAAAUAUAUGGUAGGACAUUUUUAUUUAUGAAUACAAUAAACAAGAUUGAAAAGAACAUGGGAUAUAUUUUUAGCUAGUGCCUUUCCCUUUUUAUGGGACUGGAUGGUUUGAUGCUUCAUAUUUUAAAAAGGUAUUUUCACCUCCUUUGAGAUUUUUAUGAGUCCUUUUUAGUUGGGAAAAACUGCUGCCUCCUGUAGCACGAGGUCUGUAGAAGCUGCUUGUGGAUUUUGGCCCUGGGGAUGUAGGCGUUAUUGUGUAUUUCUAUAAUUUCUCAGGGAUAUGUAACUUGCCUAUAAAAAUAUGCCUGUGGGUUGAAUCUUGGCAGUUAACAUUUCAGUAAGAGAAUAUAUUUAGUAAUAUCUGAAUGUCUAAAAGAGUAACACAUAGGUAAGCUAUUUUAAAAAACUGGGUGACAAAAACAUUGGUUGUUAUUGCCACUUUUUGAAUGUGUUUUGCUAUAAGUAAAUAUCAGCUUUAAAAUUUAUUUUUUAAAAAACAUUUGAGAGGCAAGGAUUUGGGUUAGCUCUGCAUUGGCUCCCCUCGUCAUGAAAAACAAAGAACUCAAAUCCUUCAUUUGGAAAACUGGUGACACUGAGCUAGACUUUCUGAGGAUCUGACAUCUUUGCAUACUAGGUAUUUCCGUUGCCUCUGUAGUGUUGACAUAAGUCAAUACAUACUGACUUUCGUUUUUGGGCUCAAUUUUUGUUUGUUUGUUUGGUUUGGUUUUUGAGACGGAGUCUUGCUCUGUCCCCCAAGCUGGAGUGCAGUGGUGCAAUCUCGGUUCACUGCAGCCUCCGCCUCCUGAGUUCAAGCGAUUAUCCCACCUCAGCCUCCCGAGUAGCUGGGAAUAGAGGUGUGCACCACCACGCCCGGCUAAUUUUUGUAUUUGUAGUAGAAAUGGGUUUUCACCAUGUUGGCCAUGCUGGUCUCAAAGUCGUGACCUCAGGUGAUCUUGGGCUCAAAUUUUGAUGGGUAGUAAUGAUCUGGAGAUCUGGAGUUCUCAUUAUGAUCUCUCUUUUUCAUUAAUUCAGUUAGUUUAAAAAGUAUGUAUAGAGAGUGUUUAGCAUUCUUAGCCUUGUAUUGAAAAUAUACAAUGACAACACCUAAGAAUUGGAGGGCAUUAUCUUUGUCUAACAGGUGAUUGUAACUUAGAAAUGCAGAUGAAACAAAAGUAAUCAGCAGUGUAAUGUAAGUCUUUUGCUCAGAGAUACCAUGAUUAGUAGCUUACGGAACAGACACAAGUUAAUUAGCCUACAAAUUUAAAAAACCAAAAUGAAUGAAUAAUAAACAGAUUUGGAAGGUAGAUUAGUGGAGUGAAAACCUCAUGCUUUGAAUCUAAGUGCUACUAUUGAUUGUUACCUAGACUUUUUUAGCUUUAAUGCCUUCAUUUGCAAAAUAGGGAUAAUUAUAGCUACCUUGCAGGGUUGUUGUAAAAAUUAGAUAAAUACAAUGUGUUCUAUAAAUGGGGACUAUAUGUAAUGAAUAUUAUUUUCAUGACUAAAUCUCCAUUGGAGCUUCACAGCCAUUAAGUACUAGUAGUAAUACCCAACAAGGGAAAAUUUGGGUUGUUUAGAGUAGCUGGAAGGGUCUUGUCCUUGCGGAGGUGAGACCUGAGUGAGAGUAGAUUACAGACAAUUGAUGCGAGCCAAAGGGAAGAGUAACUAUUACCAGCCAAAGCUUGGCUUAGAAGAGGGCCUUUCUUUGACCUUACUUAGGAACUGAAGCCCCUAGAUGCUAAAGCCACAUGGCAGGAUUAUAAAUCCAAAACCUGCAUGUUCAUACUCAAUAGUGUGGCAUAUUCUUAUGCAAAUUUUAAGUUGGAUAUAGUUAUUAUUACUGAAAUUUAUUUAGGUAAGAGGAGACCUAUUGCAAGACUAAAGAAGGAAAAUAAUCAGACUGUAUCAAAACUCAUCUGUUAUUGGCCAUAUUUUCAUAUUUUGAAAAAUACACUGGUUUAUCUUCCAAGCACACAGAAAGUUGAGCAUUAGACUUGGUGUUUUCACAGACAUUAUCUCAUUCCACCCUGACAGCAUAGUUGGAAAGUGUGCAUUCUAUCCUCAUUGUAAGUAUGAGGAACAAGGCUUAAAGAGCCCAGUAGGGCCAGCAUCAGAGCCUGGGUUUUAUUCGCCUGUAACUACACCAUGUUACACAGCUCCUGCAUAUCACAUAUCACAGUGGUUUUCUGCUGCUAUUCGUAAAUUUCGUAGGUAACUGAGAGAGAGAGCAUUGAGGGUGAGGGGAUAGAAGUGUGGAGUGAGACAGGUGCUCUUGCGAUGGAGAUGGGGGUAUAUAUGGCACAUAAACCAUGGGAUUGCAAUGGGGACUGGGCAGGGAGGAGACCACAGACCAUCAGGCAACCAAACUCUAAGAUAAUUGUCCAAGGACUAUUAAUUUACCACCUUGGGGCUCCCAGUGAGACCCCAGAAACGCUGAAACCCUAUUUCCUGUUUUCUCUUUUACUUGCUAGAUGUCCCAAUUCUUUUUUAGCAUAACUUGAUGUGACACCAAUGUCUUUGAUACGUGUGUCUGAGAAAGCAGCUACUGAAAACCAUCUUCUCCAGCAAGCCUUCCAGGACUGCAGAUAGUGCAAAGGCAGAAUGAGCUACAGCAAGAAAAUUAUAUGGUCUUGAAGACAUCUUAAAAAAUCCGUUGGACCAGAGUAUAAAGGUGUGUUCCAGAAAAUUAGCCAAUGGCGCCUGCAGUUAUAAAAGAAAGUAUGUUCAAAGAUUUUCAAGAUUAUCUUGGAAUCAUAUGAAAAGAUUUAAAUGCAAAAUCUCCUCCUUGGUAAUGUAUAAGGAACUCCUGUGCUGCUUUGCAUCAUUGCAACAGGUCUUAUACAUAGCCUCAGUUAUAUCAAUAAUAUGAUUAGCCAUUUAUGUUAAUUUUGCAGAUUGGUAAUAAAAAUCUAGGCGUUUUAAUGGAUGUCCUUGUACUUCUUUAACAACUGUUUUUAAAGGAUUUAACGUGUACCCAGUAGUGUACUAGCUACUGGAAAUCUGCUGGUGAGUAAGACACCAUCUGUGCCCUCAAAA
rnacentral:lncRNA from 10 species